UACGGGGGGGGCAAGCGUUGUUCGGAAUUACUGGGCGUAAAGGGCGCGUAGGCGGCCCGCUAAGUCGAACGUGAAAUCCCCGGGCUCAACCCGGGAACUGCGUCCGAUACUGGAAGGCUUGAAUCCGGGAGAGGGAUGCGGAAUUCCAGGUGUAGCGGUGAAAUGCGUAGAUAUCUGGAGGAACACCGGUGGCGAAGGCGGCAUCCUGGACCGGUAUUGACGCUGAGGCGCGAAAGCCAGGGGAGCAAACGGG
rnacentral:rRNA from 1 species